rnacentral:rRNA from 1 species
CCACUGCUAUCGGGGUGGGACUAAGCCAUGCAAGUCUAUGCUCACCCUCGUGGGCAUGGCGUACGGCUCAGUAACACGUAGCUAACCUGCCCUAGAGAGGGGGAUAUCCUCGGGAAACUGAGGGUAAACCCCCAUAGGUAACGAGUUCUGGAAUGACUCGUUACCGAAAGUAGGCUAGGAGAAUGGUCCUAGCCUAGCUCUAGGAUGGGGCUGCGGCCGAUCAGGUAGUUGGUGAGGUAACGGCUCACCAAGCCUGUGACCGGUGCGGGCCGUGAGAGCGGGAGCCCGGAGAUGGACUCUGAGACAAGAGUCCAGGCCCUACGGGGCGCAGCAGGCGCGAAACCUCCGCAAUGCGCGCAAGCGCGACGGGGUCACCCCGAGUGCCACCUUUAUGGUGGCUUUUGCCUAGUGUAAAAAGCUAGGCGAAUAAGGGGGGGGCAAGACGGGUGUCAGCCGCCGCGGUAAUACCCGCUCCCCGAGUGGUGGGGACUUUUAUUGGGCUUAAAGCGUCCGUAGCGGGCCUAGUAAGUUUCCCGUUAAAUCCAGUGGCCUAACCACUGGACUGCGGGAAAUACUGCUAGGCUUGGGGGUGGAAGAAGCCACCGGUACUCCUAGGGUAGGGGUAAAAUCCUCUGAUCCUAGGAGGACCACCAGUGGCGAAGGCGGGUGGCUAGGACACGCCCGACCGUGAGGGACGAAAGCUGGGGGAGCAAACGGGAUUAGAUACCCCGGUAGUCCCAGCUGUAAACGAUGCAGACUAGGUGUAGGAGUGGCUACGGGCCACUCCUGUGCCGAAGGGAAACCAUUAAGUCUGCCGCCUGGGGAGUACGGCCGCAAGGCUGAAACUUAAAGGAAUUGGCGGGGGAGCACCACAAGGGGUGGAUGUUGCGGCUUAAUUGGAGUCAACGCCGGAAACCUUACCAGGGGAGACAGCAGGAUGAAGGCCAGGUUAAAGGCCUUGCCAGACAAGCUGAGAGGAGGUGCAUGGCCGUCGCCAGUGCGUGCCGUGAGGCGUCCUGUUAAUUCAGGCAACGGACGAGACCCCCACCCCUAGUUGCUACCAGAUACGAAAGUAUCUGGGCACUCUAGGGGGACUGCCGCCGAAAGGCGGAGGGAAGGAGGGGGCCACGGCAGGUCAGUAUGCCCCGAAUCCCCUGGGCCGCACGCGACAUUCAAUGGUAGGGACAGUGGGUUCCGACCCCGAAAGGGGAAGGCAAUCCCUAAACCCUACCUAGGUUGGGAUCGAGGGUUGCAACUCGCCCUCGUGAACGUGGAAUCCCUAGUAAUCGCGCGCCACCAUCGCGCGGUGAAUACU